rnacentral:misc_RNA from 1 species
AAGUCGUAACAAGGUAGCCGUACCGAAGGUGCGGCUGGAUCACCUCCUUUCUAAGGAGCACCACGAGACCUGGCCGGCCCGUAAAUCGCGGGAUCAGCCGAUUGUCAGGCGAUUCGUUGGAUGGCCCUUUCACCUGUAGUGGGUGGGGGUCUGGUGCACGACAAGCAAACGACCAGGAUGGGGACCUUCCUUGUGGGGGUUGUCUGGUGCUGCCAAACACACUGUUGGGCUUUGAGACAACAGGCCCGUGCCCGGGUUUCCGGGUGGCUCCGCGGUGGUGGGGUCGGCGUGUUGUUGCCUCACUUUGGUGGUGGGGUGUGGUGUUUGAUUUGUGGAUAGUGGUUGCGAGCAUCUAGCACGCAAAUGUGGCUCUCGAGGCUUUCGGGUCUGGGGGGUGUGUUUGUGUGCUUUUGAUGUGCAGUUUCUUUUUUCGAAUUGGUUUUUUGUGUUGUAAGUGUUUAAGGGCGCAUGGUGGAUGCCUUGGCACUGGGAGCCGAUGAAGGACGUGGGAGGCUGCGUUAUGCCUCGGGGAGCUGUCAACCGAGCGUGGAUCCGAGGAUGUCCGAAUGGGGCAACCCA